GUGGGGAAUAUUGGACAAUGGGCGAAAGCCUGAUCCAGCCAUGCCGCGUGAGUGAUGAAGGCCUUAGGGUUGUAAAGCUCUUUCGCCGAGGACGAUAAUGACGGUACUCGGAUAAGAAGCCCCGGCUAACUUCGUGCCAGCAGCCGCGGUAAUACGAAGGGGGCUAGCGUUGUUCGGAAUUACUGGGCGUAAAGCGUAUGUAGGCGGGUCGUUAAGUUAGGGGUGAAAUCCCAAGGCUCAACCUUCGAACUGCCCUUGAUACUGGCGAUCUUGAGUCCGGGAGAGGUGAGUGGAACUGCGAGUGUAGAGGUGAAAUUCGUAGAUAUUCGCAAGAACACCAGUGGCGAAGGCGGCUCACUGGCCCGGUACUGACGCUGAGAUACGAAAGCGUGGGGAGCAAACAGGAUUAGAAACCCCUGUAGUCC
rnacentral:rRNA from 1 species